rnacentral:rRNA from 1 species
CACUGCCGAGAAAAGCCUCUAGAUAGAAAAUAGGUGCCCGUACCGCAAACCGACACAGGUAGUCAAGAUGAGAAUUCUAAGGUGAGCGAGCGAACUCUCGUUAAGGAACUCGGCAAAAUGACCCCGUAACUUCGGGAGAAGGGGUGCUCUUUAGGGUUAACGCCCAGAAGAGCCGCAGUGAAUAGGCCCAAGCGACUGUUUAUCAAAAACACAGGUCUCUGCUAAACCGUAAGGUGAUGUAUAGGGGCUGACGCCUGCCCGGUGCUGGAAGGUUAAGAGGAGUGGUUAGCUUCUGCGAAGCUACGAAUCGAAGCCCCAGUAAACGGCGGCCGUAACUAUAACGGUCCUAAGGUAGCGAAAUUCCUUGUCGGGUAAGUUCCGACCCGCACGAAAGGCGUAACGAUUUGGGCACUGUCUCAACGAGAGACUCGGUGAAAUCAUAGUACCUGUGAAGAUGCAGGUUACCCGCGACAGGACGGAAAGACCCCGUGGAGCUUUACUGUAGCCUGAUAUUGAAAUUCGGCACAGCUUGUACAGGAUAGGUAGGAGCCUUUGAAACGUGAGCGCUAGCUUACGUGGAGGCGCUGGUGGGAUACUACCCUAGCUGUGUUGGCUUUCUAACCCGCACCACUUAUCGUGGUGGGAGACAGUGUCAAGCGGGCAGUUUGACUGGGGCGGUCGCCUCCUAAAAGGUAACGGAGGCGCUCAAAGGUUCCCUCAGAAUGGUUGGAAAUCAUUCAUAGAGUGUAAAGGCAUAAGGGAGCUUGACUGCGAGACCUACAAGUCGAGCAGGGUCGAAAGACGGACUUAGUGAUCCGGUGGUUCCGCAUGGAAGGGCCAUCGCUCAACGGAUAAAAGCUACCCCGGGGAUAACAGGCUUAUCUCCCCCAAGAGUUCACAUCGACGGGGAGGUUUGGCACCUCGAUGUCGGCUCAUCGCAUCCUGGGGCUGUAGUCGGUCCCAAGGGUUGGGCUGUUCGCCCAUUAAAGCGGUACGCGAGCUGGGUUCAGAACGUCGUGAGACAGUUCGGUCCCUAUCCGUCGUGGGCGUAGGAAAUUUGAGAGGAGCUGUCCUUAGUACGAGAGGACCGGGAUGGACAUACCUCUGGUGUACCAGUUGUCGUGCCAACGGCAUAGCUGGGUAGCUAUGUGUGGACGGGAUAAGUGCUGAAAGCAUCUAAGCAUGAAGCCCCCCUCAAGAUGAGAUUUCCCAACUUCGGUUAUAAGAUCCCUCAAAGAU